GAUGAACGCUAGCGGCAGGCCUAACACAUGCAAGUCGUAGGGGGUAACAUAGAAAAAGCUUGCUUUUCUGAUGACGACCGGCGCACGGGUGCGUAACGCGUAUACAACCUACCUUUUAGCGGGGAAUAGCCCAGGGAAACUUGGAUUAAUGCCUCAUAGUAUAUAAGCUUCUCCUGAAGUUUAUAUUAAACAUUUAUGGCUAUUAGAUGGGUAUGCGUCCUAUUAGUUAGUUGGUAAGGUAACGGCUUACCAAGGCAGCGAUAGGUAGGGGUCCUGAGAGGGAGAUCCCCACACUGGUACUGAGACACGGACCAGACUCCUACGGGAGGCAGCAGUGAGGAAUAUUGGACAAUGGGCGAGAGCCUGAUCCAGCCAUGCCGCGUGCAGGAAGACUGCCCUAUGGGUUGUAAACUGCUUUUACAGAGGAAGAACCACCCCACGUGUGGGGGUUUGACGGUACUCUGCGAAUAAGGAUCGGCUAACUCCGUG
rnacentral:rRNA from 1 species